rnacentral:rRNA from 1 species
UCCUACGGGAGGCAGCAGUCGGGAAUAUUGCGCAAUGGAGGAAACUCUGACGCAGUGACGCCGCGUAUAGGACGAAGGUCUUCGGAUUGUAAACUAUUGUCGUUAGGGAAGAGAAAGGACAGUACCUAAGGAGGAAGCUCCGGCUAACUACGUGCCAGCAGCCGCGGUAAUACGUAGGGGGCAAGCGUUAUCCGGAAUUACUGGGUGUAAAGGGAGCGUAGACGGCAAUGCAAGUCCGGAGUGGAAUGCGGCAGCUCAACUGCCGAACUGCUCUGGAAACUGUAUGGCUUGAGUGCAGGAGGGGG